CAAUAGCGUAUAUUAAAGUUGUUGCAGUUAAAAAGCUCGUAGUCGGAUAUCUGCUAUUGGCAGGGGGACAUCUUCGCUGAUUGUCACUUGUUUGCUGUGGCAUACAUUCGUUGGUCGUGUGCUUGAGUGCGCAUGACAAUUGGAUCAUUUACUUUGACUAAACUAGAGUGUUUCAAGCAAGUGCCUGCUAUGAAUACUGCAGCAUGGAAUAAUAAAUAGGACAUUGGUUCAAUUUUGUUGGUUUCGAGACCCAGCUAGAGGUGAAAUUCUUAGAUUUGUUGAAGACGAACUACAGCGAAAGCAUUUGCCAAGGAUGUUUUCAUUG
rnacentral:rRNA from 1 species